AGUUGUUAGCUCAGUCGAUGCUUUUAAAGCAAAGAGGCAGUUGGUUUUACUUUUUAACUCCACAUUGGUCGAAGGUUCGAAUCCUUCACGACUCA
rnacentral:tRNA from 1 species